rnacentral:rRNA from 1 species
CCUACGGGGGGCUGCAGUGGGGAAUAUUGGACAAUGGGGGGAACCCUGAUCCAGCCAUGCCGCGUGUGUGAAGAAGGCCCUCGGGUUGUAAAGCACUUUCAGUGAGGAAGAACGCCUGGUGGUUAAUACCCAUCAGGAAAGACAUCACUCACAGAAGAAGCACCGGCUAGCUCCGUGCCAGCAGCCGCGGUAAUACGGAGGGUGCGAGCGUUAAUCGGAAUUACUGGGCGUAAAGCGCGCGUAGGUGGCUUGAUAAGCCGGUUGUGAAAGCCCCGGGCUCAACCUGGGAACGGCAUCCGGAACUGUCAAGCUAGAGUGCAGGAGAGGAAGGUAGAAUUCCCGGUGUAGCGGUGAAAUGCGUAGAGAUCGGGAGGAAUACCAGUGGCGAAGGCGGCCUUCUGGACUGACACUGACACUGAGGUGCGAAAGCGUGGGUAGCAAACAGGAUUAGAUACCCCAGUAGUC